rnacentral:rRNA from 1 species
UACGUAGGGGGCAAGCGUUGUCCGGAUUUAUUGGGCGUAAAGAGCGUGUAGGCGGCUUUGCAAGUCCGUUGUGAAAACUCGAGGCUCAACCUCGAGACGCCGGUGGAAACUGCAAAGCUAGAGUCCGGAAGAGGAGAGUGGAAUUCCUGGUGUAGCGGUGAAAUGCGCAGAUAUCAGGAAGAACACCCGUGGCGAAGGCGGGUCUCUGGGCAGUAACUGACGCUGAGGAGCGAAAGCGUGGGGAGCGAACAGG